rnacentral:lncRNA from 1 species
UUUUUCGCCACUGUCCUUCUCAGAAACGUUGUUGUUCAUUACACGUUUAAUCGAGUCUACAUUUUGGGCUUCACUUAUUGAAUGGGCUUUACCAAUGAUUUGUCCUAAUUCCUAUUACCUUUGUCGUAUGAUCUUCCACCGCCUCCCCAUGACCACCGUCCGCUUCUCCUCGGCAUUCAAUCUAUGUAAUUAAGAUGUUUCAGUACAGCCGUCCCAUUACUUGAUAUUUAACUCGCAAUAAUCAUCACCAGUUUCGUCUUCUUCUCUGAAACGCCAUCACUUACCAAUAUGAAUCACAUGUACAGACAGAGUAAAAGAGAGAAACAUAGAGAGAGAGAGAGAGAGAGAGAGAGAGAAUGGAGUUUACUAAGAUAGAGAUGGGGGUGUGACUUCUUCAACUGCGGUGA